GACGAACGCUGGCGGCGUGCCUAAUACAUGCAAGUAGAACGCACAGUUUAUACCGUAGCUUGCUACACCAUAGACUGUGAGUUGCGAACGGGUGAGUAACGCGUAGGUAACCUGCCUGGUAGCGGGGGAUAACUAUUGGAAACGAUAGCUAAUACCGCAUAAUAUUAAUUAUUGCAUGAUAAUUAAUUGAAAGGUGCAAUUGCACCACUACCAGAUGGACCUGCGUUGUAUUAGCUAGUAGGUGAGGUAACGGCUCACCUAGGCGACGAUACAUAGCCGACCUGAGAGGGUGAUCGGCCACACUGGGACUGAGACACGGUCCAGACUCCUACGGGAGGCAGCAGUAGGGAAUCUUCGGCAAUGGACGAAAGUCUGACCGAGCAACGCCGCGUGAGUGAAGAAGGUUUUCGGAUCGUAAAGCUCUGUUGUAAGAGAAGAACGGGUGUGAGAGUGGAAAGUUCACACUGUGACGGUAUCUUACCAGAAAGAGACGGCUAACUACGUG
rnacentral:rRNA from 1 species